rnacentral:rRNA from 1 species
CCUACGGGAGGCAGCAGUGAGGAAUAUUGGUCAAUGGGCGCGAGCCUGAACCAGCCAAGUAGCGUGAAGGAGGACGGCCCUACGGGUUGUAAACUUCUGUUAUAAAGGAAUAAAGUGAGGCACGUGUGCCUUUUUGUAUGUACCUUAUGAAUAAGGAUCGGCUAACUCCGUGCCAGCAGCCGCGGUAAUACGGAGGAUACGAGCGUUAUCCGGAUUUAUUGGGUUUAAAGGGCGUGUAGAUGGGUUGUUAAGUCAGUUGUGAAAGUUUGCGGCUCAACCGUAAAAUUGCAAUUGAUACUGGCAGUCUUGAGUACAGUUGAGGUAGGCGGCAUUCGUGGUGUCGCGG